AAUAUUGAAUUUCUUCAGUCAUUACCUUCUGCCAUGGGAACAGAGAACACCGCAGGAAAUGGAAGGUUCUUUUUUUCUGAUGGUGCGAGGACAGAAAGUCAUUCAAUUCAUUACAUGCAUAUCAAUCACCUUGGUGACAUGGUUUGACACUGAAGUAUGAAAUCUCUUCAUUGCAACACAAAUAAGAGACAUUUUUGAUGCAGAAAAUCUGCUUCAGUCGCUAGGAAGGGUUUGUCUACACGAAGGCGCUAGUG
rnacentral:lncRNA from 1 species